AAAAAAAAAAAAUUACCUUGCCCUUUUUUGCCCUUGACCAAUAUGGCUUCCAAGGCAUCAUUCACGUGACAUCCCGGACUACGGCAAGAGAAAAGGGAUAGGAGGGCCCUUGAAAAGGGUGCGCGUUCCCGUGGCUGUGCACCGGGUAGGUUUCAGUCAGAGUCACUAUGGCGGCAGGCGCUGGCAAGGUCGGAAAGUUUCCUGCCUCGUCCGGUACAGCCUGAGCUUACCCCACUGGCCACGAGCGGUGGAGGCUGCGGCGGACCCAGCCCGGGGCCUCCAGGCCUCUCCCUCCACCUCCGGGCCAAUCUCCCUCCCCCACCUCUGCGUUCUCCCUGAGCUGCGGCUGCUGCCCCUGAGAUGCGACCCUCUUGGGGGCGACCCUGACCGGAGG
rnacentral:lncRNA from 1 species